rnacentral:rRNA from 1 species
CCUACGGGGCGCAGCAGUGGGGAAUCUUGCGCAAUGGGCGAAAGCCUGACGCAGCGACGCCGCGUGAAGGAAUAAGGCCUUCGGGUUGUAAACUUCUUUUAUUAGGGACGAAGGAUGUGACGGUACCUAAUGAAUAAGCCACGGCUAACUACGUGCCAGCAGCCGCGGUAAUACGUAGGGGGCGAGCGUUGUCCGGAAUAAUUGGGCGUAAAGGGCGUGUAGGCGGCUUUACAAGUCAGUAGUGGAAGUCCCAUUUUCAAGGUGGGGAGGGCUAUUGAAACUGCGGGGCUUGAAUCCUGGAGAGGGUGGCGGAAUUCCUGGUGUAGGAGUGAAAUCCGUAGAUAUCAGGAGGAACACCGGUGGCGAAGGCGGCCACCUGGACAGGUAUUGACGCUGAGGUGCGAAAGUGCGGGGAGCAAACAGGAUUAGAUACCCUGGUA